GACGAACCGUGCGAACGUUGUUCGGAAUCACUGGGCUUAAAGGGCGCGUAGGCGGCGGCGUAAGUCCGGGGGUGAAAGCCCCCAGCUUAACUGGGGAAGGGCCUCGGAAACUGCGUCGCUCGAGGGAGGUAGGGGCAGGGGGGAACUUCUGGUGGAGCGGUGAAAUGCGUUGAUAUCAGAAGGAACGCCGGUGGCGAAAGCGCCCUGCUGGCCUCUACUGACGCUGAGGCG
rnacentral:rRNA from 1 species